rnacentral:rRNA from 1 species
AUGGCUCAUUAAAUCAGUUAUCGUUUAUUUGAUAGUACCUUACUACAUGGAUACCUGUGGUAAUUCUAGAGCUAAUACAUGCUAAAAACCCCGACUUCGGGAGGGGUGUAUUUAUUAGAUAAAAAACCAAUGCCCCUCGGGGCUCCUUGGUGAAUCAUAAUAACUUAACGAAUCGCAUGGCCUUGCGCCGGCGAUGGUUCAUUCAAAUUUCUGCCCUAUCAACUUUCGAUGGUAGGAUAGUGGCCUACCAUGGUGGCAACGGGUAACGGGGAAUUAGGGUUCGAUUCCGGAGAGGGAGCCUGAGAAACGGCUACCACAUCCAAGGAAGGCAGCAGGCGCGCAAAUUACCCAAUCCCGACACGGGGAGGUAGUGACAAUAAAUACUGAUACGGGGCUCUUUUGGGUCUCGUAAUUGGAAUGAGUACAAUCUAAAUCCCUUAACGAGGAACAAUUGGAGGGCAAGUCUGGUGCCAGCAGCCGCGGUAAUUCCAGCUCCAAUAGCGUAUAUUAGAGUUGUUGCAGUUAAAAAGCUCGUAGUUGAACCUUGGGUCUGGCUGGCCGGUCCGCCUCACCGCGAGUACUGGUCCGGCUGGACCUUUCCUUCUGGGGAA